UGCUUUCUGGCACUGACAAGAAACACGUAUCCAGAAGGACAUUGCCCAGCCCAUUAGCUAAACUGCCAGGUGAAGCCAUUGCCCAACUCCUGAACCUUCACUGGGUUAUGGAUCAGCACUUGGCCAAAUUAAAUCAUUGUCAAAAGUACAGUCUCUGAGGGCAAGAGGUUAUGGAGCCUUCAUAAAGGUUUCCCAUCUGUCAUCAAGCACAACAUCGAGCCCUCUAGGUGCUGUGAAAAUGAUUUUCUCCGGAAUUCUCCAGCCCAAAGAUGCCAUCCUCUUAAUUACAAGCUUUUGAGAUAAGGAACGCCACUGAAUUCCCUGGAGAUUCACAGAAGAUGUGCAAAAAUAAUCUCUUCUCUUGCUUGCCUGCCAGGGCUCCUGUACCUGCCCACAAGCUAGUCGGCUCAUUUGCUAGAACAGCAGAAUGCCAAGAAAUGCCCAUUGAACACUACAAACACAGAAUGAAAAGGCAGUCCCCUCAGCCUUUUUCGACCUCACCAUCCAGUGGAAAAUGGAGACCUGUCAGAUCUCUUAUGGGCCUCAAAAGAAUCACAUGGCCACCAAGUUCAGCUUCACUUUGAUUUAGUAGCCCAUCACAGAGAUCACCAGAAAAGACUAUCACCAGAAUGGCAGAACAGAAAUUUCCUAGCCUUUGCAUGAGGGUAGCAAGAUGAUAAGGAUUAUAAGACUCCCACUGCAUUUCAGAAGGUCCAUAUUUCCCAUUGGGCCACAGAGACUUUUCUAUUAAAAUAGUUAUUAUAAGAAAAUGUGAAGAAAAUGUUACUGUGUAACAGGCUGGUUGCAUCUUGUGAUGAAGACUCUGGAGGAAAGAACACCGAGAAUGAACUUGCCAGCUUGCUUUCCUCAAAACUGGUACCUUUCCUCAAAGCUGGUACAGAAGCUAAGAGGGCAUUAGCUUUCUUUUAAAAAAAAUACUCAUGGCAUGCGUGGGUGUAUUUGUGCUGGGAGGGAAAGUUUCUUUCUUUAAAAAUAAAACUGUUCAUUGGGUUGUUUUUUUUUUAGCCUAGGCUAAAGGACACAUCCCUUUCUUUGUCUUCAGAAAGUUUGAACCUUCAUGCUUUCUCUUCCCAAAAUAAAUGCCUUAUUAAGAUCAGAUAUAUGAUGCCCUAAAAUAAAUAAGCAACAGCUUCCAGGUCCAAGCACACACAAAACAAGCAAACAAACAAAAAAAAAAAAAGAACAAAAAAACCCCAACCACCCCUUGUUCAAAAUAUUUUUUAACAAAUAGACUAAUCUCAACCUUUAUAUUUACAGUUGCAAAGCUGUAGUGAAAUUCCAUUCAACUGGGUUCUGAAGUUUUACUCGGUGGCAUUUCCUGAGGUUAACUGUUCCUGGUGAUGAGAUGCUGUGAGCAAUAACACAGCUCCCAGAGGGACCCGUGCCUGAGGGCACUGGUGAAUAGCUGAACUUCCAUGUCUGCUAUAUCAGAGGCUGGGAUGUACACUGGACUGAUUUUACCAUCUUAUUUAAAUGUGAUGGUUUUCUCAUUUGUUGCAUUGUUUGUAUUAAUACGAAUAUCUUGUUAUGUUUGUUUUGUCUCCUGGGAGCCAAUAAAGCUGUGAAGUUUU